CGGACGGGUGAGUAACGCGUGGGCAACCCUGCCCCGCACUGGGGGACAACAGCUGGAAACGGCUGCUAAUACCGCAUAGGCGCACAGCCUCGCAUGAGGCAGUGUGGAAAACUCCGGUGGUGCGGGAUGGGCCCGCGUCUGAUUAGCUGGUUGGCGGGGUAACGGCCCACCAAGGCAACGAUCAGUAGCCGGCCUGAGAGGGUGGACGGCCACAUUGGGACUGAGACACGGCCCAGACUCCUACGGAAGGCAGCAG
rnacentral:rRNA from 1 species